rnacentral:rRNA from 1 species
UACGUAGGGGGCUAGCGUUGUCCGGAAUCAUUGGGCGUAAAGAGCGUGUAGGCGGCCCGGUAAGUCCGCUGUGAAAGUCGGGGGCUCAACCCUUGAAUGCCGGUGGAAACUGUCGGGCUAGAGUCCGGAAGAGGCGAGUGGAAUUCCUGGUGUAGCGGUGAAAUGCGCAGAUAUCAGGAGGAACACCGAUGGCGAAGGCAGCUCGCUGGGACGGUACUGACGCUGAGGCGCGAAAGCGUGGGGAGCAAACAGG